UCUUAGAUGACUGAGAUAAUAAGUGUUAGAUUUUUAAUCUAAAAACGGCAGUUUGUGCCUCUAAGAA
rnacentral:tRNA from 1 species